AAUAUGAGUUAUUACUUUUAUCAUUUGGAUCUUGAUUUCCACAUUGACGAUAACCUAAUGUUGCUUUUCGUUUUGUUGGAACAUAUCCUGGAAUAUACAAACUAGAUACUGUUCCUGCUAAUGGAAAAUUUGAGUCUGUAAAAACUUGUCUUUGAAGUCCUAUAUCGAUAGGACCCAAUCGACCUGAUAUAUCUCCUACAUAACAUCUAAGUGGUAAAUCAGAACCACAUUCUUGUCUGUACAGAUCAUCCUGUGAAAUAAAAUUACUUUUAUGAAAGUAAACAAUGGCAUGUUAAGACAGAAAUUUUAUAUGGUUCUGAUUAAUAUUACAUUUAAAGGAUCUGCUAACUGUGUAAAGUAGGGAUUCCAUAUAUAUCCACCAGCUACACAUCUAGUAUCCUUUACUUGAACAGCUGCAUCUACUCCAACAGGAUUUACAUAUAUCGCCCAAUUGUGGUUUCUUGUCUACAGUUGACGGAAAAUUAUUUUCCCAACAAUGGGAUAUCUGUAUAUUACUUGUGCGGUUACCAUUGGUAUUUGUCCAAUAUUAUCUGGUAAAUAAAGAUUCAAGGUACCGCAGAUCCAUGGUACGGUGCUCUUAUUAUCAGUUUCAUUAUAUCUGAGGAGCAACGUGUAAUCGUUUUUAAUAAGUAAGGAUGAAAAUAAAGCGGUAAUUAUAAAAAGUGAGCGUAAAUAAGUACUUAUGAAGAACAAGGCUUCUGUGAAUUACACUAUGUGUUCCUGAGAGUGGAAGGUAUGUAUCCCAAUAAAUUCCAUUAAGUUUGGCACUCCCUGGCAAGAUAUCAUAAUGAUACGAUCCUUCUUUACGACCUUGAAGUUUCCCAGAAAGAUCACCAAUAGCAUAUUGAUCUUGAGUUCCAAGCCCUGAGUUUCAUAAUUAUUUAGGUAUUGUUGAACGAACAAACUAGGCUAAAGUAACGAUUUAACUUGUUUACCUGCUGGUGGUACAUCCAUUAUAUUGAUAUUACUUGGAUUAUACAUUUUCUUAGUUGUUUCGCAUACUUUGGCAAAGUUAUUCGAAGCUUUUAUUGGAUCUGGAGGUAGUUCAUGAAUAUUGUAUGACUUUAUCUUAGUAGCAUAGCGUAAUCUCGUUCCUAAAUCAUUGAUUGGUGUCAAUGAUACGUUAACCCAUGUUGGAUCGAAUGGAGUCACUUGAGAUAAAGAUACAUCUCCUUUGAUACCGUGAGAAUUAAUUAAAGUUCUAAAUGGUUAAAAAAUAUAGGAAAAGAUAAUUUGAUAAACAUGUAUAAAUAAAAUGGAUAAAAGUUUUUCGUAAUAAUAAGUUUCACUUACUUGGCAAGGAUAGGUUUUCUAUGAUUAAUCUUACUGCAAUGUAAAAUGGAGUCAUCAUGUUUCGGAUGAAAUAUGACUAAAUAUAAUUGACGAUGUGGUCCGAGUAAAUCAGUAGAAGGUAGUAGAGACAACUUUGAAUCUUUGUAUACGGUUUUAUAUUCGUUACGAUGAUUUACAGCUACUUUUAUCUUGCCUAAACGUGCAUCGAUAUCACCAAUCGCUUUGCCAUUGCCCGCGUUAUCAGGAUCAAAGACAGUUUGUAAAAUAUUGCAACUUGAUUUGUCUGAAUGAUAAACAUUAAAUAAAAGUAAAUCAUUGUUUUGCAAAUCCGAUA